CUUUUAUUACAGGAUCUGGGUGGAAAAAGGAAACUGAAUGAGGAGCAGGGCUGAGCAUGGGAGCUCUCGUGUUUCCUUAAAGAGGAAUACUGUGAACGCCAUUAGCUCGCUCACCGCACCACUGUUCUCCUGCUAGCCCUCAAACUCUCAGAAUAAUGGAAAGAAGUGUUCUGCAGGUCCUAGCCUCUGGACCACCAAGGAAUCCCCUCCUUUCUGGUUUACACUUCUAACCCUUGUGACACCUGGACAUACUCUCACUAACUUCACAAGCCACAGGCUUGUUCAUUCAGCACGGAGAGGGUUCUGUAUCAAGAAUCUCCCUUUGACUUCCAGUUCAAGAUGAUGGAGUAGAAAGAUGUGUGCUUAUCUCCUUGAGAACACCAACGUUGCAACUAGCUACUGAUCAACCGUCGACAGGAGGACACUGGAACCCACCAAAAGAGGAACCUCACAUCCAAAGACAAAGCAGAAGUCCUAACAAGACACAGGCAAGAUCUUAGUUCCCCAACCAGGGAUUGAACUCCCGCCACCUGCACCAGAAGCUUGGGGUCUCAACCACUGGACCGCCGUGAAAGUCCCUCAGAUUUCUUUUUGAAUUGUAGUUCUCAGUGUUAUAAAGCCUCUUGAGACAGUCUGUCC
ensembl:lncRNA